AGCAGCCGCGGUAAUUCCAGCUCCAAUAGCGUAUAUUAAAGUUGUUGCAGUUAAAAAGCUCGUAGUUGAACUUCGGGGUUCGCCCAUUGGUCAGGCUUAAUUGUUUGUACUGGUGAGAUGAAUCUCUACCUUCUGAGGAACUUUCAUGCCAUUUAUUUGGUGUGAUUGGAAAUCAGGACUGUUACUUUGAAAAAAUUAGAGUGUUUAAAGCAGGCUAACGUCUGAAUACAUUAGCAUGGAAUAAUGAAAUAGGACGGACUGAUUCUAUUUCGUUGGUUUCUAGGGUCACCGUAAUGAUUAAUAGGGAUAGUUGGGGGCAUUAGUAUUCAAUUGUCAGAGGUGAAAUUCUUGGAUUUAUUGAAGACUAACUACUGCGAAAAGCAUUUUGCCAAGGAUGUUUUCAUUAAUCAAGAACGAAGUUAGGGGGAUCGAAUGACGAUCAGAUACCGUCGUAGUCUUAACCAUAAAACUAUGCCGACUAGGGAUUGGACG
rnacentral:rRNA from 1 species